CAAGUCGAACGAACUUCCGUUAAUUGAUUAUGACGUACUUGUACUGAUUGAGAUUUUAACACGAAGUGAGUGGCGAACGGGUGAGUAACACGUGGGUAACCUGCCCAGAAGUAGGGGAUAACACCUGGAAACAGAUGCUAAUACCGUAUAACAGAGAAAACCGCAUGGUUUUCUUUUAAAAGAUGGCUCUGCUAUCACUUCUGGAUGGACCCGCGGCGUAUUAGCUAGUUGGUGAGGUAAAGGCUCACCAAGGCAGUGAUACGUAGCCGACCUGAGAGGGUAAUCGGCCACAUUGGGACUGAGACACGGCCCAGACUCCUACGGGAGGCAGCAGUAGGGAAUCUUCCACAAUGGACGCAAGUCUGAUGGAGCAACGCCGCGUGAGUGAAGAAGGGUUUCGGCUCGUAAAGCUCUGUUGUUAAAGAAGAACGUGGGUAAGAGUAACUGUUUACCCAGUGACGGUAUUUAACCAGAAAGCCACGGCUAACUACGUGCCAGCAGCCGCGGUAAUACGUAGGUGGCAAGCGUUAUCCGGAUUUAUUGGGCGUAAAGCGAGCGCAGGCGGUCUUUUAAGUCUAAUGUGAAAGCCUUCGGCUCAACCGAAGAAGUGCAUUGGAAACUGGGAGACUUGAGUGCAGAAGAGGACAGUGGAACUCCAUGUGUAGCGGUGAAAUGCGUAGAUAUAUGGAAGAACACCAGUGGCGAAGGCGGCUGUCUGGUCUGCAACUGACGCUGAG
rnacentral:rRNA from 1 species